GAUGAACGCUGACAGAAUGCUUAACACAUGCAAGUCUAUGAGAAGAUCUACUUCGGUAGAAGGUAUCAUGGCGGACGGGUGAGUAACGCGUAAAGAACUUGCCUCUUAGACUGGGAUAACAGAUGGAAACGUCUGAUAAGACUAGAUAUAAUAGCGACAUGGCAUCAUGUUGUUAUGAAAGGCAACACUAAGAGAGAGCUUUUGCGUCCUAUUAGUUAGUUGGUGAGGUAAUGGCUCACCAAGACGAUGAUAGGUAGCCGGCCUGAGAGGGUGAACGGCCACAAGGGGACUGAGAUACGGCCCUUACUCUUACGGGAGGCAGCAGUGGGAAUAUUGGACAAUGGAGGAAACUCUGAUCCAGCAAUUCUGUGUGCACGAUGAAGGUUUUCGGAUCGUAAAGUGCUUUCAGUAGGGAAGAAGAAAGUGACGGUACCUACAGAAGAAGCGACGGCUAAAUACGUGCCAGCAGCCGCGGUAAU
rnacentral:rRNA from 1 species